rnacentral:rRNA from 1 species
CUCUUGUCUAUGUUUCUUGGAACAGAACGUCACAGAGGGUGAGAAUCCCGUGCGAUGAGAUGAUCCAGGCCUAUGUAAAGUUCCUUCGAAGAGUCGAGUUGUUUGGGAAUGCAGCUCUAAGUGGGUGGUAAAUUCCAUCUAAAGCUAAAUAUUGGCGAGAGACCGAUAGCGAACAAGUACAGUGAUGGAAAGAUGAAAAGAACUUUGAAAAGAGAGUGAAAAAGUACGUGAAAUUGUUGAAAGGGAAGGGCUUGAGAUCAGACUUGGUAUUUUGUAUGUUACUUCUUCGGGGGUGGCCUCUACAGUUUAUCGGGCCAGCAUCAGUUUGGGCGGUAGGAGAAUUGCGUUGGAAUGUGGCACGGCUUCGGUUGUGUGUUAUAGCCUUCGUCGAUACUGCCAGCCUAGACUGAGGACUGCGGUUUAUACCUAGGAUGUUGGCAUAAUGAUCUUAAGUCGCCCGUCUUGAAACACGGACCAAGGAGUCUAACGUCUAUGCGAGUGUUUGGGUG